rnacentral:rRNA from 1 species
UACGUAGGUGGCAAGCGAUACUCGGAAUCACUAGGCGUAAAGCGCAGGUAGGAGGUUUAGAAAGUCUCUUGUGAAAGCUCCCGGCUCAACUGGGAGAGGUCAAGGGAAACUACUAGGCUAGAGUGCGGUAGAGGUAGCUGGAAUUCCCGGUGUAGCGGUGAAAUGCGUAGAUAUCGGGAGGAAUACCUAUGGCGAAAGCAGGCUACUGGACCGUCACUGACUCUGAUCUGCGAAAGCUAGGGGAGCAAACAGG